rnacentral:lncRNA from 1 species
CAGCACCAUGCUUCUUGUACAGCCUGAGGAACCUUCCAUUGUGAGUGCUGUGGCUUGUGUUUCACAUCGUGUGACAACCUGUGGCCCUGCAUCUCCCAGACACAGUGCCAGGGUAAGUCCCAGGCCAGGCACACCACUAACUGACUGAAGAACCCUUGGACCUUGAGGGAACAUUGGUGGUAGCUUGGCAAUACUCUCUGUGGGCCUGUGGUGGUGGCGGCCACAGGUGAGGCUCCUUUGACUGUGGAAAUGGGAGGGAAGAGUGGGAAGGACUGUGUCUUGUAGUUUGAGCGACAGCUCAGCCACAGUACAAUAAAACACCACGUAGACAUCUAUGGUUUUUGACUCUAGUUCCUGGCUGGAGCAUGGUACCUCGAUAGCUGCCCAGGGCC